GACGAACGCUGGCGGCGUGCUUAACACAUGCAAGUCGAACGGAAAGUCCCUGCUUGCAGGGUACUCGAGUGGCGAACGGGUGAGUAACACGUGGGUGAUCUGCCCUGCACUUCGGGAUAAGCCUGGGAAACUGGGUCUAAUACCGGAUAGGAGCCAUUUUUAGUGUGAUGGUUGGAAAGUUUUUUCGGUGUAGGAUGAGCUCGCGGCCUAUCAGCUUGUUGGUGGGGUAAUGGCCUACCAAGGCGGCGACGGGUAGCCGGCCUGAGAGGGUGGACGGCCACAUUGGGACUGAGAUACGGCCCAGACUCCUACGGGAGGCAGCAGUGGGGAAUAUUGCACAAUGGGCGCAAGCCUGAUGCAGCGACGCCGCGUGGGGGAUGACGGCCUUCGGGUUGUAAACUCCUUUCGCUAGGGACGAAGCUUUUGUGACGGUACCUAGAUAAGAAGCACCGGCUAACUACGUG
rnacentral:rRNA from 1 species